rnacentral:rRNA from 1 species
GACGAACGCUGGCGGCGGGCCUAAUACAUGCAAGUUGAGCGCUUAAGGGUGGUACUUGUACCAACUGGAUGAGCAGCGGACGGGUGAGUAACGCGUGGGGAAUCUGCCUUUGAGCGGGGGACAACAUUUGGAAACGAAUGCUAAUACCGCAUAAAAGCUUUAAACUCAAGGUUUAAGUGUGAAAGAUGCAAUUGCAUCACUCAAAGAUGAUCCCGCGUUGUAUUAGGUAGUUGGUGAGGUAAAGGCUCAACAAGGCGAUGAUACAGAGCCGACCUGAUAGGGUGAACGGCCAAAAUGGGAAUGGAAAAAGGCUCAAAAUCCUUCGGGAGGCCACCGUAGGGGAUCAUCGGCAAUGGACGGAAGUCUGACCGAACAAAGCCGGGUGAGUGAAGGAAGUUCUCCGAUCGUAAAACCCUGUUGAGUGGGAAGAACGUUGAGGAGAGUAAAAAGUUCAUCAAGUGACGGUAACUACACAGAAAGGGACGGCUAACUACGUG